AUUGAACGCUGGCGGCAGGCUUAACACAUGCAAGUCGAGCGGAGUGAUGGUGCUUGCACUAUCACUUAGCGGCGGACGGGUGAGUAAUGCUUAGGAAUCUGCCUAUUAGUGGGGGACAACAUCUCGAAGGGGAUGCUAAUACCGCAUACGUCCUACGGGAGAAAGCAGGGGAUCACUUGUGACCUUGCGCUAAUAGAUGAGCCUAAGUCGGAUUAGCUAGUUGGUGGGGUAAAGGCCUACCAAGGCGACGAUCUGUAGCGGGUCUGAGAGGAUGAUCCGCCACACUGGGACUGAGACACGGCCCAGACUCCUACGGGAGGCAGCAGUGGGGAAUAUUGGACAAUGGGGGAAACCCUGAUCCAGCCAUGCCGCGUGUGUGAAGAAGGCCUUAUGGUUGUAAAGCACUUUAAGCGAGGAGGAGGCUCUUCUGGUUAAUACCCAGGAUGAGUGGACGUUACUCGCAGAAUAAGCACCGGCUAACUCUGUGCCAGCCGCCGCGGUAA
rnacentral:rRNA from 1 species